AAAAUAUGAAGGUGAACCACAAUGAAAAACAUACUUGCCCCAUUAGCAUGCAUAUAACGGAGCAACCAGCCCCCUUCAACAUCUCUCAUAAUGUGUUCUACGCUGUUGAAAGCUAGAUCCACAUGAGGUGUGUAAUGCAUAGCUAAAAAAACGCCGCCCCAUUAGCAUGCAUAUAACGGAGCAACCAGCCCCCUUCAACAUCUCUCAUAAUGUGUUCUACGCUGUUGAAAGCUAGAUCCACAUGAGGUGUUUAAUUCAUAGCUAAAAAAACGUCAGUCACUAUCUUAAUGACUAAACAAAUACCAGCUAACAAACCGAACCCCACCAAUAACUAAGAUUGCUCGGGGUUGGAUAAUCUAUCAAAUGCUG
rnacentral:lncRNA from 1 species